rnacentral:lncRNA from 1 species
AAAUAACCUGUAGUGCUUCUUCUUUUUAAAUCCGUUUGUCCUGUGCAUUAUUCAUUCAUGUGGAAUGUGAGUGGCGUUAAGAAAGCCAUGGGCUGAAGUGAAGUAACGCUGUACUGUAGCAUGGAAUCCUGGCAGGGGUCAUGGCCCAGGGUCGGGAGUGCGCAGUUGAGAUCGGGAGGAGUUGUGUAGAGUUCACUCUCUGGCUGAGAGCUUUUACUUAAUAAGAAAGGAAGUGUGGAGGUCAUCAGGAAAUGGUUGAUUCAGACCAGGCUGAAAUAUUGGUCCUUCACCUUUUGUGAGUUUUUGUGUGUGUGUAAUAUAAUACACCAGGACUGGGACUAUCGUGCUCAGACUACCAAAGACAGAUGGUGUUCGGCAAUGUGUGUGUGGUGCUGUGAGUCUAAAGUCUACCGAAACCUCUGGUUGUGAACAGUCUUUCUCUUCCACCCCUGCCCUGCAGCUGGACCCCUUUGCCCCGCUCUUCCCCCAACAUCCCAGCCCUGUAUGUGCUGAAGAUGGACGAGGAGCGGGGACGACGAUCACUGCUGGGCCUCCUGCAACAGCUGGCCAGGAGUAUAGCCUACCUGGCUGGCAUGAAAAUGAACCACCGGAGAAGCUUCUCCAUUCGCUAUUUAACCCAGAUGCUGCGCCCGUGCUUCCUGAGGGCGGCACCUACAUGUGUUCAACUGGCUCAGCAGCUGUCUGGAUGGUGAGGAGGUAGCACCUACCUGCCUGGCAUCUGUGAGAGGGCCAAACUACUGGUGCUGAGCUACGCCCUGUACAUGAUUGGAAAUGGUAAUGCCACUUCAGUUGAUGUUUUGAAGUAUCUAGCCAAGCUCUCCAGGUGGGUUUCUCUGUGUGUCUGAUUAAUGAACAGUGUGCCCCCAAGAUGACGAACAACCAUCCCUGUGACAUGCCUUACACAUUGCCCACAUGCCUCCGACAUGCAUGUCACUGAAGAGGUUGAAAGGCGUUUGUACCAUGUUGUCUCCAUCCUCGAGUUCAUUUGGCCGUUGUUAUGAUGUAUUUAGCGUCAUGUGACACAAAAUGCAUCAUACGAUGAUGAUUUCUGUAUUUUGAAAGUUAUGUAUCUUAAACUUGAUUGCUGACAUGCAAAACAUUUUUGGACAAUAACAACAAUGGACGAAUGAAACAAAUACCAAAAGAAAAUGUUUGGGUGGAACUUUCCUUUAAGUCUCCAAAUAAAUAUUAUUUGGCAUUUUGGAAAGAAGUAUGCAUUCUGGUGAUGAUUGUGAGGCUGAAAGGCCUCAUGGCUUCUUUUGACGUUCCCCUGUUUUCUCUGAUGACCCAUUUCACACUUCCUAUUCUGUGACAACUGACCUACAGCCCUCACGUGGCAUCUCUCAUCAGGCCAGAAGAAAACUCAUUGCAGCAGCUUUGAGGUAAAAACUUACCUGCAACACAUUUAGCCUGAAUCAGUUCCUUCUU